rnacentral:rRNA from 1 species
AUUGAACGCUGGCGGCAUGCUUUACACAUGCAAGUCGAACGGUAACAGGCCUUCGGUUGCUGACGAGUGGCGGACGGGCGGGUAAUGCACCGGAACGUACCCAGAGGUGGGGUAUAAGGCAGCUAAAGCUGUGCUAAUACAGCACGUGAUCUGAGGUUGAGAGCGGGGGUGGGGGCAGCAAAGUUUCGCCUCGCGCCUUUGGACUCGCCGCUGUCGAACUGGUUGGUUGGGGGGGUAAAGGCCUACGCUGUCGACGAUACGUAGCCGGUGUGAGAGGCCGGCAGGCCACACUGGGACUGAGACACGGCCAAUACUCCUGCGGGAGGCAGCAGUGGGGAAUGUUGGACAGUGGGCGGAAGCCUGAUCCAGCGAGGCCGCGUGUGGGAAGAAGGCGUUCGGUUUGUAAAGCGCGUUUGGCAGGAACGAAACGGUGUCCGCUAAUACCGAGCGUGAGUGACGGUACCUGCAGAAGAAGCACCGGCUAACUACGUG